UACGUAGGGUGCGAGCGUUAAUCGGAAUUACUGGGCGUAAAGCGUGCGCAGGCGGUUCGUUAAGACAGGUGUGAAAUCCCCGGGCUCAACCUGGGAAUGGCGCUUGUGACUGGCGGGCUGGAGUACGGCAGAGGGAGGUGGAAUUACACGUGUAGCAGUGAAAUGCGUAGAGAUGUGGAGGAACACCGAUGGCGAAGGCAGCCUCCUGGGCCAGUACUGACGCUCAUGCACGAAAGCGUGGGGAGCAAACAGG
rnacentral:rRNA from 1 species